rnacentral:pre_miRNA from 1 species
UUUGUACUCCUUCCGUCCAAAAAAUACUUAUCACAGAAAUGGAUACAUCCAGAUGUAUUUUAGUUUUAGAUACAUUCAUUUUUAUAAAUUUAUGUGAUAAGUAAUUCCGGACGGAGGGAGUACCUU